GUGCCAGCAGCCGCGGUAAUACGUAGGGUGCGAGCGUUAAUCGGAAUUACUGGGCGUAAAGCGUGCGCAGGCGGUUUGUUAAGCUUGCUGUGAAAGCCCCGGGCUCAACCUGGGAAUUGCAGUGAGGACUGGCAGACUGGAGUGUGGCAGAGGGGGGUGGAAUUCCACGUGUAGCAGUGAAAUGCGUAGAGAUGUGGAGGAACACCGAUGGCGAAGGCAGCCCCCUGGGCUAACACUGACGCUCAGGCACGAAAGCGUGGGGAGCAAACAGGAUUAGAUACCCGAGUAGUCC
rnacentral:rRNA from 1 species